rnacentral:rRNA from 1 species
GUGGGGAAUAUUGCGCAAUGGGGGAAACCCUGACGCAGCAACGCCGCGUGAAGGAUGAAGGUUUUCGGAUUGUAAACUUCUUUGAUGAGGGACGAACAAAAUGACGGUACCUCAAAAACAAGCCACGGCUAACUACGUGCCAGCAGCCGCGGUAAUACGUAGGUGGCGAGCGUUGUCCGGAAUUACUGGGUGUAAAGGGCGUGUAGGCGGGACUGUAAGUCAGAUGUGAAAUUCUGAGGCUUAACCUCAGCGCUGCAUCUGAAACUGCGGUUCUUGAGUAUCGGAGAGGAAAGUGGAAUUCCCAGUGUAGCGGUGAAAUGCGUAGAUAUUGGGAGGAACACCAGUGGCGAAGGCGACUUUCUGGACGAUAACUGACGCUGAGGCGCGAAAGCGUGGGGAGCAAACAGGAUUAGAUACCCUGGUAGUCC